CCUACGGGUGGCAGCAGUGAGGAAUAUUGGUCAAUGGACGCGAGUCUGAACCAGCCAAGUAGCGUGAAGGAUGACUGCCCUAUGGGUUGUAAACUUCUUUUAUACGGGAAUAAACUGUUCCACGUGUGGGUUUUUGUAUGUACCAUAUGAAUAAGGAUCGGCUAAUUCCGUGCCAGCAGCCGCGGUAAUACGGAGGAUCCGAGCGUUAUCCGGAUUUAUUGGGUUUAAAGGGAGCGCAGGUGGAUUGUUAAGUCAGUUGUGAAAGUUCGCGGCUCAACCGUAAAAUUGCAGUUGAAACUGGCAGUCUUGAGUGCGGUAGAGGUGGGCGGAAUUCGUGGUGUAGCGGUGAAAUGCUUAGAUAUCACGAAGAACUCCGAUUGCGAAGGCAGUUCACUGUACUGCAACUGACACUGAGGCUCGAAAGUGUGGGUAUCGAACAGGAUUAGAUACCCGAGUAGUC
rnacentral:rRNA from 1 species